UCUGUUAUAACAAUUAACAAGACAAAGAUAUGCUCAGGGGCUCCUAUCGUAGGCUAUACUAUAUGUUAUCUUAAUUUAGUUACUCCGUUUACUACUUGCUUCUUGGAAUUUCUUACUGUCUUAUUAUCUAGUACUUAACAGUUCUUGUGUAUUCCUCAUAUUUAAGCUCACAGUGUUCUUCCUUCUCCCUUAAGUUGUAUUUUGUUUUCUUUCUUAUAUUAAAGAUUGAACAAUUGCAGUGCAAGCACACAAUUGGUUGUUCCUGUUCGAGAAGGUGCGCAAUCUUGCCGAGUUGCACAAAAUCAAUUAAAAUAGUAUAUUUGUACAUAGUUGGAACUAGUUGAUUGUAGCUCUUAGUUGUACAAGGUGGAUGCAAGUGUCUGGGUGCGAUGGCCCGUAGAUAUUGCAUUGCUCUGAAAAUUAUCAGUACAUUGCAUAGAUGAAUGGAUGUCACUCCUUACAUUGUUGUUUUGAACUUCUGUACUAAUUUACUGAAGCGUCAAGUAACAACUAUCCUCUGUUUGGGUCACCCCUUUCCCUAGUAGUGUUGCAUUCUAUGUCCUUAUGAAUUUUUGAUUGUCUUACUGUCCAGUACAGUAACAGUCUGCUCUCUAACUUGUUUGUCAAUAACUCCUUAUUUUAGUCUCUUUCAUUAUGUUAGGUUUUUGGGAAGAAUUAAAUGAACAUCAUCAGUGCAACAUAGAGGUUAAGGCAGGUGGUUGAGGUAUCACUCAAUUUCAAGAAAUUGAAUAAGAUUCUUCCAAAUUAAGUGGCACUAUUCCAUUUCAUAUUUUGUUGUUCUAUGCACGUGAACCUAGAACUUAAAUAUUGAUCAACACCUGAUCGAUGUCUUAUUUUCUAGUUUGCAAUUCAUUCUUAUUAGGAGCAAAAUCCAAGAUUGGGGAGCUAUGAGAGAUGCAAGAGCCUCUAAUCAAGGUAUUUUUAGUUUUGCUUUCACCAUCAUCCGCAAGUUUUAUCAGGAAUAAUUGCCAGUCAAGUUUUCUCGCGUAUAUUAAAAACAUAUCAUGCUAUGUCCAGUGUGCCCAAGAUCAUGAGACCAACAUUAUUGAGCCAGUAGUUGCUAUGUUGGUUUAGUCUGAACACAACCUCUUUCUAUUUCUUUGGGGUCUUUUAUUGUCUCACCAUGCCAUGCUGUUACAUUAUCGAAUAAUUGUAUAAUGUUUUGGAUUUUUUAUUCUUAUGGAGAUGAUGAUGACUCUGCCAUCUUUCUUGAACAUUUGAAAUGGAUAGACUUAAGAGUAUUGACAUUGGUGGUGUGAUUUAUUGCAAGAACUCUCUAAUGACUUACCUGCUCAGGAAGUUAGCUGAUAAUUCUGUCAAACUAAUCUAGUAGCAUGUGCUCAGGUUGUCCUUUAAGUGGAUUUUGUCAGUUGCAUGAUUAGUAUCAAAUCUGAGAUAUGAUGCUAGAAAAAACUACUCCAUUACUAUUCUAUAAGUUGUAGAAGUGGGUAACUUUGCUGAGAGAAAAACAAGUUGGGUAUAUAUGCCAAUGUUAUUGCGAGAAACUGAGAUACCAAAUAGAUUAUGCUUAUUAUAUCUUAUAGAUAUUGUUCCUGUUUCUCGUACCUUUUUGUAGCAAACAGUUGGCACUUGCACAUUUUUACAAGUUCAAUUAGUCCACUGCAGGGUAACCUUGAAGAGAAGCUUGCAACUUAAGUUGCAACAAAAGAUUGUAGAAAAUGAGGUAUCUCUUCUUGUGUAUAUUUAGUUGAUGCACUUGUGUGUUUUUAGAUGUUGCACCUCUGUUUUCAUUGACCUUCGAUUCAUGUACGUAAAUUCUAUGGAACUGUAUCCGAGGACAUGUGAAUUUGUAUCUAUGUUUGACGGGAACAAUUGAUAGUGAUGUUUCUAUGUUCUAAAUAUUAUGGGUUCUGGAAUAGCUAUUUAUAAAACCAUCAAUAUU
rnacentral:lncRNA from 1 species